rnacentral:lncRNA from 1 species
CAUUAAGUAGCUUUCUGUUACUAUAUCAAAUACCUGAGAUAAUCAGCUUAUUAAAAGAAAAGGUUUAUUUAUUUUGGUUUACAGUUUAGAGAUUUGAGUUCAUGAUCAGUUGGCCCUACUGCUUUGGGCCUGUGGUGAGACAGUUCCCAUCAUUGUGGGAACAAUUGGCUGGGAAGCAAAAGAUAGGGAGAGAGGAAGGGGCUGGGUUCUGUCCCCUUCAAAGGAAUGCAUUCAGUGACCUGAAGACCUUCCACUAGGCCAUCACCUCUUACAGGUUCACUACCUCCCUAUAGCACCAAGCUGGGGUUCAAGCCUUUAACACGUGGGCCUUGGGGGACACUGCAGAUUAAAAUUACAGCAAGCAGUGAGCUUAGUGUCACAGACCUCUUUGAGAAUACUGAAGUUGGCCUAGGUUUUCUAUUACAAAGUUUCAUUUUUGUUCUUUGUAGGCAUUUUAUGUACUGAACUGAUUGGUUCUCUGGAAAGUUUGGUUUAAUGAGAACUUCAUUAGAUUUAAACCUAUAUAAAUUAGUUUUAGGUUUCAGCAUUCAUAUUUGAAAAUGAAACCAGAUGUGUCCUUUGAAAGUAUAGACUUCAAUGUUGAACAGACUUGGUGUCAGUGGCCACUACUCUGGCCAGCUCUGAGUCUAGGCAUGGCACUUGACCUCACUUGUUCUAUAAUGUGACAGUCUUAGUCGCAGUACCAGAGUCUCCUGAGGACUAGCUGGUCUGAGUGUCUGGAGGAAUGCUCACAAUGAGUCCAGUCUGUUUUCUCUCUCUCCUUCAGGACUGGCUCAGAAUAACAAAUAUUAUUAUCUUAUGGUUUCUAUGGGUUAAGUAUCCAAAUACAGUUUAGCUGGGUCCUAUGACUCAGGAUCUCUCACAAGAUGGAAAUCAAGAUGUUGGCUUGUUUUAUGGUCUCAUCAGAAAGCUUGUCUAAAAGCUGCAUUUCCUUGGAGGCUGUGGACAGAGACUUUCUCCACUGCAUGCCAUGGCUUCUCCAUGAGGGAACUCACAACAUGGCAGUGAGUGAGGAAAACAGGGUGGCCAAAAUGGAAGUCCAAGUCUCUUCAUGACCUAGUUAUAGACGUGAUACCCAUUGUGUUAGAUUCUCUCUGUUGGAAGGGAGUCAUUGGGCCCACCCUAUAUUCAGGGCAGAGGACUCUGCAAGGUAUAGGUACUAGGAGGUGGGAUGUGGGGGCCAACUUGGUGUUACACACCAACCUAGGUGAGGAGAGACCUUUUAUAUCAGGGUCCCAUCAUCUUCCCAGAAUAGCUAUACCAUCCCUUUUAUUAUUACUUCAGCAAGUGGGGUCCCAUUUUGAUGUCUCUGAACCAGAAGUGUUCUUCUAUGACAUCUUUUUUUUUCUUUAAUAGAUGCCUUCUUUCCUCACUUACAUAGAUUCUCUGUAUCUUUUUAAUUGUUAUUGUGUAGA